UACAGAGGUCCCGAGCGUUGUUCGGAUUCACUGGGCGUAAAGGGUGCGUAGGUGGCCUGAAAAGUUUGAUGUGAAAGCUCAAGGCUUAACCCUGAAAUGGCAUUGAAUACUGUCGGGCUGGAGGUUUGGAGGGGGGACUGGAAUUCCUGGUGUAGCGGUGAAAUGCGCAGAUAUCAGGAGGAACACCGAUGGCGAAGGCAGUGUUCUGGGCCAGUACUGACGCUGAGGAGCGAAAGCGUGGGGAGCAAACAGG
rnacentral:rRNA from 1 species